rnacentral:piRNA from 1 species
AAACCUUCUACCUCCUGCAAAAAAUCACCAAGG